rnacentral:lncRNA from 1 species
GCUCAAUCAUUAAAGAACAACAAAUUAAAACAGAAAUGAGAUAAUUUUGCCACCAUACUAACAGUGCUUACUGCUCUUUCCCAGUGAAAAUACUGGUUAUUUAAAUUUUCUUCUCUAUAAAUAACUGAACGAUAGUCAAUUUAAGACAGAAGAAGAUGCUGUCAUAACACAUGUGAUCCAUAGCCAAUUUUUCUCUAUCACUUUCUCCAAAUACAAGACUUUUUUCAUUACAUGGGCAGGCUGUGUUACUGUUGCUUAUGUCUUGUCCACAGUGUCAUGAUUUUCCACUUUUCACGUAAAUACUUUUACUUAUUAAAUAAAUUUAAUCCCCUAAAUGAUCUCCAGAGACUUUUCCACAUGUAGCAUGCACCAAGGGCUAUUUAUGGAGCAUACAUUUAAUUAUUGUAGGGGCCUUCAUUAGCAUAAAGCAUAUUUGCUUUACAAGUUUGAAGGUGAUCCUUAAUAUCCCUUUUCAGUCACUCUGGUGAACAGUGAUUCAGUUUCAUGAACAAAUUUGUUUUUUUAAAAAAUAUUAAGUGCCCAUUCAAAGUGCUGGGAUUACAAGCGUGAGCCAUCGCGCCCGGACUAUGUAUGCCUUUCUAUACACACAUUGCUCUCCUGUGUUUUAAGUUUGUCUUCCCAGCCAGACUUCCCAGCAUGGAGUUAGCAUAGAGCAAAUAAGUGCCUAGUGUGCACUGGCUUGGAAAGACUGCUAUUUCUUGAAUCAGAAUGUAAAUUUAAAAAACAAAAACCAAAAAACCUCAAUGCAUUACAAAUGUUAUGCAAUGGUCCUGAUGAUAUUUUAGUUAAUGAUAUUUACUGGGCUGUCUUUCUGUUGAACUGAAUCAAAUAGAAGUCUCAAUCAGAAAUUUUUUAUCCUGGGGACAGCCCAGUUCAAAAAGGAAGUACCAUAAAACCUUGAGGAACACUCCUUUCCUAGAAUGUCAGGUCCAAAUAUAUUCUUCUGGGAUGUAAAUUGGGGAUGACAGAGAAUGGAAAUAUCAAUCUGAAACUAAUUCUGAAGGUUGCCAAGGUAAACAACUAUUUUUGAGGCCCUACUCUGGGCCAGGCAUAGCAAUGGCAUUUUCUCAUUUUAUCUCAUUAAAUCUGCACAAAUAACCCAGUGAGGUGGAUGUGCUGAUAUUCCUUUUAUAAACCUCAGUGAAGUGAAAUAUCAGACUUCCACCAUAGGUUGGAACAGUCUGCAACCAUUCAAAGACAUAUUUUCCACAGGGGACUAGUUUGAUCAUGAA